rnacentral:lncRNA from 1 species
CUGUGGCUUGCUGUAGGCCUGUGGGCUGGCUACUGGCCUGUGGGCUGGCUACUGGCCUGUGGGCUGGCUACUGGCCAGCCUGUGGGUUGGCUGGCUGGCUACUGGGGGACUUGUAGAUUAUUUAAAGAAAUAAUCCAUGCACAAUAACCACUACUGCUCCAGAGUAAGUAGUCAAACCGUUUAAGAACAGUUUGACAACUUACCUGGGGUCUGCUGGGAUAUGAGGCUGUAG